AACGUAGGACGCAAGCGUUAUCCGGAGUUACUGGGCGUAAAGGGCAGGCAGGCGGACCGAUAAGUUGGAUGUGAAAUCUCCCUGGCUUAACCGGGAGAGUGCAUUUGAGACUGUCGGUCAGGAGGGCAGCAGAGGAGCGUGGAAUUCCGGGUGGAGUGGUGAAAUGCGUAGAGAUCCGGAGGAACACCAGAGGCGAAAGCGGCGCUCUGGGCUGCACCUGAUGCUGAACUGCGAAAGCCAGGGGAGCGAACGGG
rnacentral:rRNA from 1 species